GUACAUAGCAUUUUCCUUGCUCUGGAUGCAGAUGCAAUAUUAAACAUUCCGUUAAGAGCUUCUGGUGGGGAGGACUUCUAUGCUUGGGCCUUGGAAAAAUCAGGUGUUUAUUCUGUCAAAACGGCAUAUCGUGCUCUAAUGACUCGGAUCGAGCAAUCAGCUCAAGAGGAAGGAACGAUAGUGGAAACUUCAUCGUCAAAUAAACACCUUUGGACAGCCUUUUGGAAACUCAAGGUCAUUCCAAGAGUCCGCGUCUUU
rnacentral:rRNA from 1 species